CGAACAAAGAAGUUGUGAGCCUCGAAUGUAUAGUCAAAAGUGACUCAAGUGUCUAACAAAAUGUGUACUUUGUUGAGGACUCUAGAGGAGUUGAGCCUCGAUUACGGGAGGCUCUAUAGUGUACUUUGUUCGAGAGGAGGAUUGUUGGGAGGGAGUCGCACAUUGGCAAAUUUAGGAAUUGAUCAUGGGUUUAUAAGGAAAUAUAUCUUCUUUGGUAUGAAGUCUUUUGGGAAAGCCUAAAGCAAAGUCAUGAGAGCUUAUGCUCAAAGUGGACAAUAUCAUACCAUUGUGAAGAGUCGUAAUUCCUAACACUGUUUACUGAGUACUUGUGGAACAUUCUUUACACUCCUCUCACGUUCUCUCUCUCUCUCGUGCCCCUUUUGUUUGUUUCUUAGAAAAUAUAUGAUUCUUAUUGUGAAUGAAUUUGGAAACAUGACAUUUUCCUCUGUUACAAUUCAUCCUUGUUUAUGUUUCCUUGUAAUCAGAAUCUCUCCCAGCUUGCAUCCAUCAACUAUGACCUGCUUUCUAAGGGUUUGAAGGAUGAUCCUCCUGAUCACGAUGCAUAACUGUGUUAAUCCUCGCACGUCUGCCAAAUGCUUUCUGGCUAUUGGUUCGAUGUUCUUCCCUGUUUUGUAUCUGCAAUGUUCUGUACAUAGACAGAAAAGUUUUAGAAGCUAAAGCUGGUUUGUGAUGCUCUCUUUCAAAUUACAGACGCCAUCUUCAAACCAGGUGGCUUUCGACCUUCGUUUUCCUGUUCACUGUGUUUCUCUUCCUUCUCUCCACCCUCAAAUGAGUUCAGAACUUGAAAAAUUCCAUUGCUUAAAUGGUUCCCUUAACGUGUAUACCUGUUUUCUUAGACAAUCCAUACAUUUAUGUAUUCAUAAUAUAUAUUAUAUAUCAAGGAGAAGCAUCAUUGUGUACA